UCUGCGCUAAAGAUUAGCACUGGAGCAUAAAACAUCGCGCGAUGAGACAUUGGCGUUAAUGGACCUUCGACCAAAGUCAACACUGGACUAUAGGUCUUCACGGGAGGCAGCGCUGUGGCGGAAUGCUGAGGUUGUUGCCAGGUGCCUGCGCGUGAGAAGCUCUGCAGGUGCAACAGGUGGAGCUCGGGAAUGGAGCGCAACUAUGAAAACGCUGUUCUGCAUGUGUCCGUCAGGGGGCGACUUUAGUCUGUUGCACACCGGCGCAACAGCCGUGGAAGUACAUCACUGUGGCAUUAUGGACCGUUUCUGACCGAAGAACUAAGUGUGGUGAGUCACCGUGUCCUGCCUCGAUCCAGAUUUAGGAGCUGGUGAAUUUGGAUCAGCGCGAAUCCUGCGUCUCAGCUCUUAAAACAAAGCAUGACCCACCGCAGCUCCACAGAGUCUCUGUGUUCUUCAGCAAAGGUGUCUCCUGACUGUCGCCAUAGACUCGGCGGUGACUGUAUUCAUUUUACACUGGAUACUGAGGCAGUAUACUUCAAGCCAAGGUAGUUGCAUUCUGACACACACGUUUCACCAUUACCCUUUCCCCAGCCUCUCCCCCUAAACCUAACCAUCCAAAACACAUGGCUCCCCUGAACCAGGACUCGGAACCAGACUGACGCCUUGUUAUAAUGACCCUGUUAUUCUUAAAUUUUAAUCCUCAAUUCAUCUUAUCCCCCCUUAUCCCCACAACGGUAGCUGAAACAGACUCACACCCUGAAGUAAUCCCUGUGGGAAAGAGCGGGGAGGUUUCAGGAGAGAGGGCCUGCAUUCAUCACCUGUAAGUGAUAUCCCCAAAAUCCAGGAGCAGAGCCGCAGAUCUGCCACUUUACUGUCUCACUCAUCGUCUCAGAACCAAGAUAAGAAAACAGUUGUUCAUCUCAGAUCUGGCCACUAGUGUCAGAUGAUGAUGUUGAUGAAACGAGUCCUUGUUGUUCCAGAGCGCUCGGAGAACUCGCGCCGUCUCCUUAUCUCCACUCACCUUCUCAGCCCAGAUAGAGCUUCCUUCCAGAAGAUUCAUGUGGAAAUUCAAUGUUGAGAACUCGUUCCUGCUGUAAUAAUGUAGGUCACCAAUGUGAACUCCCUGAAGUUCACUGCCACCAUCAACCAUUAGAGACUGUGGAGAAGUUUGGGGACAAAGCUAAGAGAGGAGAGAUUAAGGAUGUUGGAGAUGAAGCGGAGGAAGACAGCCAGUGAGGGAAGAACAUGAAGGUGAGAGGACCAUGAAGGAAAGGUAAAAAGUGUCCUGGUGAAAUAAACAAACGCUAGAGGAAGAAGUUGAGAGGAGGCUGCUGGCGAGCCCAGAGGAAGGAGGAGUGGGAUCCGUUUCCAUGCUGGUGUAGAUGAAGUGACCACCUGUGUCGGCCCACUCAGCCAUUAUCAGCACUUCCUGUUUCCCCCGGCCUGGAAACAUUGCAGUCACUGGAAUCAUCGCAGCUUCUCCCUGAACAUGUCAGGACGACACAACUGUGACAGGGAAGCCAAAUAUGAAGAUAAGAGAGUCUCGUUCCUGCAGAAAUCAGUGUUGAUAGUCACCACACACAGGUUUGUAUUUCAAUCCUUGUGGGGACCUCUCAUUGCCUCUCCCCCUCAACCUAACCACCCAAAACGCAACCUUAUCCAGGACUUGGAACCAAACUGAAACCACAUUCUAGUGACCCAGCUAUGUUGAGGGUUUAUCCCUCGAAUUGUGGUUUAGUCUUCUUGGGACAAAUUCUCCCAUCCAAGGCAUACGGUCCCCACAAGUAGGUGUUUUGUCAAAAAUGGUUCCCCAUAAGGUAGGAUAAACAGGUGCACACACUUGUUUUAGUUUCCACAAAGUGUUGCUCUCUGAGGUCUGCUCUCCAUCAUGUGCUAUUAUAGGAAACACACCAGGGUGUGUGUGGCAUCUUCACACCUCCACCAGAGGACCAGGAGUGGAUCCACACUCCAACACUCCCCUUGUUCUCACUCAUUAUGUUAGAAUAUGAGGGGAAGCCGCUGUUGGACAUAGGAAAAGGUUGUUGGCUUGUAAACUUUGACCUUGCUGCCUCACGUGAAGCCGAUCGCAGACCUUCCACCCAACACUUGACGUUUCUCCUCCUGGUAAAUCUGUUGAAUAAAGAGCCACCGCGGCUGCAGGUCUAUCUUCUGACCAAACCAGCAACUCAGUCUGGUCCCAGACCGACCGUCAACCAGGUCAGUCGUCAGACUGCCGAUUGGUGAAACUCUCAGCUCUUGUUUUCUUGGAACAAAAACCUGCUCCCUUCUUUAGUGAAAAGAAUGAAUCAUUCCGCGCCCUGGCUGUGUACCGGGUCCAGUGUAACGGUCUCGACUGUUGAACCAAAAGGACUCAAGGUCAACAGCGUCACCCCUCGCCACGGAGGCAACACCACUCAGCAAUUAUGUUCCUCUCCACAGCAUGACGAUCACAGCCAUCUGACUGAGCCGCUCAGUCCAGCUGUUCUCUGUAUGGCAACGUGAUCAGUGAUGACAACUUCUUCCCAGGAUUCUUGACUUUUAUCAUACUGACAUGAAUACAGCACCGAACACCUCUUCGCCACAGUGGAAAUAACCCACCACAAACUUUUAGGAUUGUCAAAACAAAAACAAAAUAUUUGUCUGCAGGUCGGACCAGAUUCUGGGAGGAUCGUGUGGCUCAAAGAUCAGAGCAUAAAUAUCUGGAGGAAGCUGAAGCCAGUCAGUCAUCAGUGAAAUGGAGGCCAGAGCUGAAGUUCUCUCCUGUUCAUGUGUCACAGCUCUGAUUGUUUAUUCACACACAACAGCAUCAGAACUCAAGUCUCCACAGCUCCACCCUCCAGAGUGGGAGUGUACCUGGAUCACUCUGCAGGUCUUCUGUCCUUCUACAGCAUCUCUGAAACCAUGACCCUCCUCCACAGAGUCCACACCACCUUCACUCAGCCUCUACACGCUGGGCUCAGGGUCUGGUCCUCCUCAUGUGAGAUCCUGAAGCUGAACUAAACCACAGUGUGAGAAUGCUUGUGUCUCACAAACUCUUCCUGCUGGUUGUUGACUGCUCUCCUCUCCUGGAGUGUUUUUCAUGAGUCAUUUGUGUUCUUAUUUGUGUAUUUAUUUUGUGCAUUUUUAUUGUUGAUUACUAUUCUGUUUGUGAUUUUUACAUGUGUGUUGUGUGCUGGAUUUCUAUGUUUGUAUCUACACAGGUUAUUCUAUAUUGGCCUGUGUGUUGAUCAUGUACAGGUGAUUUACGAGUGUGUAUUUGUUGAACUUACUUUCUGUCUUUCAGUAGGUUAACAGUUUUUGCGUUUUUUUUUAAGGUUUUGACCACAUGAUCAUGACUGCAUUGUUGAGUUUGGCAUUUUUUCGUGUAAUUGUGUGUGUGUGUGAUGUUGUUGCGUGACAUUUGAAGCAGAACAGGUGGAGUUCUGCUUCAAAUAAACCGUUACGAUAAUGAAGUGUAAUCAUCAACGAAGUCUCUUUAUGGUCACAACGUCAUUGUUAUGUUUAGUGUUGACUGGAGAAGAAAUGGGAUUUUUACAAAUGCAGGUGCAGCUUAUAAACUUCUGCCAGUGUCAGACUCAUUGCCUGUGAUGGAUCUUCUCAGUUCUCUGUCUUCAGGCCACCUUCAUCCUCUCAGCAGAGGUGGGCUGGUGGGGGCAGAAGGUGAAGAUGAAGUGAUGGGCAAAGACCUCCCUCUCUCCAAAAACCCAAUGGAGGCUUGCAGGCCAUGCGUAUCGUCAGGAUGACUGACACAGGGGUGCAGCAGUGAAGGAUACACCUGAAGGUUCUUCACCAGAUUCGUCCUGAACAGAGCUCCUGAUCUUCACCCUGGCCAGGAUCUUCGUACCCUGGACCUGUGGCAGCUCCGUCAACAGAGUUGAUCUCCUGGAGGUCUGGAAGCAAGGAGCAGCCGCUGAGACCGGCAGUGGUGUCGGAACUUUGGGCAAAACGGCACAUUUUGAGGGCUUUCAUGUGAAUAAAAGAUGUGAGACACUGUCUCCAGACAGUGCGUUCGGCUCAAAAGUCCGACGUGAGCACAAGCGAGUCGGGUUUUGUCUGCUGACUUGAUCCCAGCUGAAGAGCUGCAUCUUGUCUAUUGUGAGAGCAGCGUGGAUAAAUCAAGACGCUCAUUAUUAUGCAGCUUGUUUCCGUUAUUUCCUCACUCACAAUGCUGGACCCCGUUUUCAGAACUAGUUUUGAAAAGCGUUUUUAAGCUGGUGCACCACUGACUAAAUUUAGUGGGUGCGGCUAAUAUUCCAGUCCUCACUAUAGUCUAGAAAUUAUGGUAAUUUAAUACCAUUUCAGUUCAUUGACACUGUGGUAUUUAUCAUUUAUAGCUCACAACUUAGUUUGUUUAAAUGUACUAAAACUCAGAAAACCUGUUCAUGAGGUCGACGAUAUGACUUGUUGAUCAACCUAUUUGUCUUGGAUUAUUUAAUUUCCUUUUACAAAGGAUUGUAUUUCCAACUCUUAAGUCUCAGAAUUGUUUAUUAUCAAGCUGUCACAUUUGUUGUCCCCAUAUUUGACACUCAGAAUCUCACCAAGGACGGAACAUUUAGCUGCCUGUCACCGUCUGGAGUCAAACUACAGUGGCAGAAAGUCAUCUUGGUGAACAGAAGUGGAACACAACCGUCUUCUCGGUGAGUCACGCCGGAUUUAAACGUCAUGCAUACUUUAACAAGUAUCACGUGCGUGGUUUUCGGCCCCAAACCUGCGGAUUCGCGAACUAGAUCAACAUGACAAGGCAGGAGAUCAGACCGGUGAACAUGUGUAAUACUCUCACGACCUAGAAAGACACAUGUUCAGUCUGUUUGUCGAUUUGUCAUCGCUUCCAUUCUUGUCCACUGAGUACAGAAGUUUGCUCCUCACCGGUCAGCUGGAAACAUCUGUGAAACGCAGCAUCUUGCGUCACUUCUGGCAGGUGAGCUGGUGUGAUCGUGAUGUUGAUAUGUGAGCGUAGCAACCCUCAGGUCCAGAGGAAGACAGAGCUUCCCUGGAAAGAACGUGAAGUCCAGAAGAGCGGGAAAGUCCCGAGCUGUUGCUAAGGACUCAGCGAAAAUAGGAGAACACCACGUGUAGUAUCUAAGGCAAUUUGUGGCCUCUAACCUACCCACUCUGGAUAACCAGCGCUAGGCAGGAGAGGGACUAAACUCACCUAUGGAGAGUGUGAGUGGGAGGACAUCAGACUCCACACACAGAGGUGCCUACAGCUGGAUUUGAGCCAGACACCUGUGAGGCUGCAGCAUGAGUUGAGUCAGUGAGCCCAUCUGAAGGGUGGUGGUCUUCAGUCUGAGUGAUGGUGGUGACAGACAGUGUUUUUGGGAUUCACACCGAAGUCACAACACACGUUGGGAGGCCUCUUUGUUUUCAUCACAUGACUGUUUCAUUAUUCCCACACCAGGUGUUCCUCUGCACGUUUGAUGUUCCACGGCUGACUUUCAGCCUUGAGCAACUCGGGUUGGCUUCAGUCGUGAAGUGGAGGCUGCCUCCUCUGAUAAAGCUAAA